CAGGCAGGCCAAGGGGGAACUAACACCAGUGUUAGAGAUGAGCUAACGGAGGCUAGAGAAGCUCAGAGUCUCACCAGGAUCAUGCGGUGACUUGGGGCAGAGACAGAGGCUGACCCAGUUCUCCUGACUCCUAGUGCAGUUGCGGCUUCCCACACAGCAGCUCAACCCGACCCUGAGUAUGCCCGCGUCCGCGGAGCCCAUCUGGGGACUGGUUCUUGAUGCUGUCAUCCGGACUUGGAUUGUGGUUAUAUUCUUGGUCCACUGGCCCUGACCCACUCUGACCCACCAUUCUUGGUGGCACCUAGGCGUCCUGCUCUUUAGGCCAUUUGCUCUGAACCUUCCUUCAGGCUCUUUCCCCAUCCCCGGCCCCGCCUCCGUCCUCUCUGGAACAUGAAGUACUCUCAUGACAUGCCUACCACCCUUGGAGGGCAGGGGAUGGUGCCAGCUUUCCUGCCUUAGAGAUCAUGCCUGAAGGGAAAGCAACACGACUUACUCUUCCUGCCGUGGAUGUACCCGGCGGACGGUCGUCGUGUUUCUACGUGGCCAUGUUAUUCAUAGAUCCCACACAGCGAUCCGCUGCUGAGCUUGGUGUAUGCAACCAAAAUGGCACCCUGUGGAGAGUUUGCUGGGCUCAAAGCUGGAAUCUCUGCCUUCUGACCGCAGCUCUGCCUCCUUGGAGCUGUACGAACUCAGGGUGCAAGGAGGACCAUCACACCAGCUUGCAGGGUUGGCGUGAGGAUUAGAGGCGACGCCUGGCGCACAGUAGGUACACAGUAGGCACGGUGAGGUUUGUUCAUCUGAUGACGAUGAUGCUUCUGCUGCCAGUGGGCAAACCAGAUUCGUGCACGCUCUCUCUCGAGAAGGGAACAGCAUGCCAAAGAUAGCCAAAGUGUGGGACUGGAAGAGAGCCAAGAUAACUCCAGGACUCCAAUUGUUAUUUCUCUACUACUUGGAGAUACGAGAUUCUCAGUCCUUCAAAGCAUCAAAGGAUUUUAGGAGAGGAAAUUUGGUGUUGUGGCUAAGCCACGGGGCUUUGAAGUCAAGAGCCGAGUUCCUAACAGUUUCCGGAUCUGCCCCUUCCGACUGUACGACCUUGGGCAAGUUACUUCUCUUCUGUAAGCCUUAGUUUCUGUAUCAUAAAAUGGGGCUAUCAGCAGUGCCCCUCUUGUAGGGCAUGGUGGGGAUUAAAUAAGAUAAUAUUUAUAAAAUUAGGGUGAAUAUGUACCUAUCUUCCAAACCAGGACACUUUUGAAGGGGCAAAGAGAUGCUAUUAAUAAUUGUCCAGCAACCCAGGACUGCCCCAGGCAAACCAGGGCAAACGGCUACCCGGCACGAAGGGCCU
rnacentral:lncRNA from 1 species